rnacentral:rRNA from 1 species
UACGGAGGGGGCUAGCGUUGUUCGGAAUUACUGGGCGUAAAGCGCGCGUAGGCGGACCUGCAAGUCGGGGGUGAAAGCCCGAGGCUCAACCUCGGAACUGCCUUCGAUACUGCGGGUCUCGAGUCCGGGAGAGGUGAGUGGAAUUCCGAGUGUAGAGGUGAAAUUCGUAGAUAUUCGCAAGAACACCAGUGGCGAAGGCGGCUCACUGGCCCGGUACUGACGCUGAGGUGCGAAAGCGUGGGGAGCAAACAGG